rnacentral:rRNA from 1 species
UUUCUGCAAUCGGUCGAAAGCCUGACGGAGCCAUACCUGCGUGAGGAGGGAAGGCUCCUGGGUAGUUACCAACUUUUCUCAGCGAGGAACACAAUGACGGUACCUGAGGAAUCAGCAUCGGCUAACUCCGUGCCAGCAGCCGCGGUAAUACGGAGGAUGCAAGCGUUAUCCGGAAUGAUUGGGCGUAAGCGUUCCGCAGGUGGCUGUGUAAGUCUGCUGUCAAAGAGCAAAGCUCAACUUUGUAAAGGCAGUGGAAACUACACGGCUAGAGUGCGUUCGGAGCAGAGGGAAUUCCUGGUGUAGCGGUGAAAUGCGUAGAGAUCAGGAAGAACACCGGUGGCGAAGGCGCUCUGCUAGGCCGCAACUGACACUGAGGGACGAAAGCUAGGGGAGCGAAUGGGAUUAGAUACCCCAGUAGUCCUAGCUGUAAACGAUGGAUACUAGGCGUGGCUUGUAUCGACCCGAGCCGUGCCGUAGCUAACGCGUUAAGUAUCCCGCCUGGGGAGUACGCACGCAAGUGUGAAACUCAAAGGAAUUGACGGGGGCCCGCACAAGCGGUGGAGUAUGUGGUUAAUUCGAUGCAACGCGAAGAACCUUACCAAGGCUUGACAUGUCGCGAACUCUUCUGAAAGGAAGAGGUGCCUUCGGGAGCGCGAACACAGGUGGUGCAUGGCUGUCGUCAGCUCGUGUCGUGAGAUGUUGGGUUAAGUCCCGCAACGAGCGCAACCCUCGUUUUUAGUUGCCAGCAUUAAGUUGGGCACUCUAGAGAGACUGCCGGUGACAAACCGGAGGAAGGUGGGGAUGACGUCAAGUCAGCAUGCCCCUUACGCCUUGGGCUACACACGUACUACAAUGCUACGGACAGAGGGCAGCAAGCUAGCGAUAGCAAGCUAAUCCCAUAAACCGUGGCUCAGUUCAGAUCGAAGGCUGCAACUCGCCUUCGUGAAGGAGGAAUCGCUAGUAAUUGCAGGUCAGCAUACUGCAGUGAAUUCGUUCC